AGAGUUUGAUCCUGGCUCAGAUUGAACGCUGGCGGCAUGCCUUACACAUGCAAGUCGAACGGUAACAGGCCGCAAGGUGCUGACGAGUGGCGAACGGGUGAGUAAUGCAUCGGAACGUGCCCAGUCGUGGGGGAUAACUGCUCGAAAGAGCAGCUAAUACCGCAUACGACCUGAGGGUGAAAGCGGGGGACCGUAAGGCCUCGCGCGAUUGGAGCGGCCGAUGUCAGAUUAGCUAGUUGGUGGGGUAAAGGCCUACCAAGGCAACGAUCUGUAGUUGGUCUGAGAGGACGACCAGCCACACUGGGACUGAGACACGGCCCAAACUCCUACGGGAGGCAGCAGUGGGGAAUCUUGCGCAAUGGGCGAAAGCCUGACGCAGCCAUGCCGCGUGAAUGAUGAAGGUCUUAGGAUUGUAAAAUUCUUUCACCGGGGACGAUAAUGACGGUACCCGGAGAAGAAGCCCCGGCUAACUUCGUGCCAGCAGCCGCGGUAAUACGAAGGGGGCUAGCGUUGCUCGGAAUUACUGGGCGUAAAGGGAGCGUAGGCGGAUAGUUUAGUCAGAGGUGAAAGCCCAGGGCUCAACCUUGGAAUUGCCUUUGAUACUGGCUAUCUUGAGUAUGGGAGAGGUUAGCGGAACUCCGAGUGUAGAGGUGAAAUUCGUAAAUAUUCGGAAGAACACCAGUGGCGAAGGCGGCUAACUGGCCCAUUACUGACGCUGAGGCUCGAAAGCGUGGGGAGCAAACAGGAUUAGAUACCCUGGUAGUCC
rnacentral:rRNA from 1 species